GGAAGUAAAAGACGUAACAAGGUCUCCGUAGGUGAACCUGCGGAGGGAUCAUUACAGAGUUCUCGCCCUCGCGGGUAGAUCUCCCACCCACUGUUAUCGUUACUGUGUUGCUUUGGCGGGCCGCCGGGCCCCGCUCGGCCGCCGGCUCCGGCUGGCGCGCGCCCGCCAGAGGCCCAGCAAACUCUGAAUGUUAGUGUCGUCUGAGUACUAUAUAAUAGUUAAAACUUUCAACAACGGAUCUCUUGGUUCUG
rnacentral:misc_RNA from 1 species